GAUGAACGCUGGCGGCGUGCCUAAUACAUGCAAGUCGAGCGAACGGACGAGAAGCUUGCUUCUCUGAUGUUAGCGGCGGACGGGUGAGUAACACGUGGAUAACCUACCUAUAAGACUGGGAUAACUUCGGGAAACCGGAGCUAAUACCGGAUGAUAUUUUGAACCGCAUGGUUCAAAAGUGAAAGACGGUCUUGCUGUCACUUAUAGAUGGAUCCGCGCUGCAUUAGCUAGUUGGUAAGGUAACGGCUUAACAAGGCAACGAUGCAUAGUCGACCUGAGAGGGUGAUCGGCCACACUGGAACUGAGACACGGUCCAGACUCCUACGGGAGGCAGCAGUAGGGAAUCUUCCGCAAUGGGCGAAAGCCUGACGGAGCAACGCCGCGUGAGUGAUGAAGGUCUUCGGAUCGUAAAACUCUGUUAUUAGGGAAGAACAUAUGUGUAAGUAACUGUGCACAUCUUGACGGUACCUAAUCAGAAAGCCACGGCUAACUACGUG
rnacentral:rRNA from 1 species